GAAUAUUGAUGUAAUUUUUUUAUUAACUUGAAAUUUCUUCCAGCGUAGGAUUAAUUUUUUAAACUUUUUAUUGGUGUAGAAAGUUAUCAAAGAAGUUACAAAUAAUAAAAAUGAGAUUUAACCGUAAAUAAUUAUUAUAAAAAUGCCUGUAAUAUAUUGAAAAAAAAUUACCUAAAAUGCAGCAAAAAAUAUAAAGAAGAAAUGAAUAAAGAGAAAUUUUAAGGCACAACGAAUCCAGUGGGAUUUAUUCCAUUUGCCUCUGAAAACUCGUAAUGUUCAACUCAAGUGUAUUAUAACACAAUUACAAAUAGAAAUGAUAAUUAUUAUAUAAAUUAUAAUAUAAAAUAAUGUAAUGGGCUUCCAUGAUAAAAAAAAAAAUGAAAAUAUAAUGUGAAAAUUUGUCGUGACUGAUCAUUUAUGCUUUCGUUUUCUUUAUCCCCAAAAAAUGUUUCGCUUCGGUGGAUACAUAAUUUCUCUUUGCUUUUUCUCCAUCGGAAAUCAAUAAAAGUCUCGUCAGCUUCACAAAUUUUUCUAUUCGUACUUUCAAGUUAUAGCAUCCAUGUUAUGAAUAUGAAGAUUUUGAUGAUUGUUUUAAUAGUUUGUGCAAUUUUCACGAGCAUCAAAGCGGAUUCAACAAGAAGAAACCAGAAGCAAUUAAAAAUAAGUCGCAGAGAAGAUGAUGAUAAUUUAGGACGUGUCAGAAUAAAAGUUUUUCAUGACGGAUUGGAUGAAAACCAAUUUGCACGAUGGGGAUACUGGGUGUCCCAGCCGAGAGAAGAAAAUUAAAAUUCUAAUUUAAAUUUAGUAAAUAUUUAAAAACAAUUAACUAAA